ACGAGGCGUCACUUUUGUAAACUGUAAGAGAACAAACGGGUGGAGUUCACCACUGGAGUUCACCUCAAGCUAAAAUGGAGAAUAGUUCAGGAUCCAAACACGGCACCUUGAGGAACUCCACUGGUGAACUCCACUCAUAUCUCCUCCUGAAUCAUAAACGUCAAACAUUCACCGUUUCCUUUCUGAAAAAGAUUUGAAACUAACGAGCGAGACCAUAAACCGUUUGGAAAAGCACAUACUGAUGUCAUAUAUGAAACGAAAAAGUUUCUUGAGUUUUUCAUCAACUUACAUUCAUGCGGAGUUACAACAAAGACCAGUGAAGCUAACUUCUGUCUACAUCUGGGGCUUCACUUUUGCAACUUGACGCCUACGUCCACUUCUCACAAAGAAUGUUCCAUAAAUCGGUACCACAAUAAACGAUCAUCUGGCCUACGCUAGCCAUCAAUUACAAGAUUUUAAAGGGCCACAUCUGGCAUUCAAAUAUCGAGAAUUUGAGCUGCAAUCUUGCAAGACUUAAACCAAACUAGAAGGAACCAAAGUCCUGUCUUCUCUCCGAAUAAGGAUAAAAUAAACUUUUUCUUUACUAGUGAUGUCCGAUUAUAACUCCACUGGUUAUUAAAAUAGAUUAAUAAAAUGAGCUGCAAUGCUGCCAUCUAGUGGCUUUCACUUUCGUAUACCGCUGUUUUUUUUUUCCCCAAAACUAUUUUUAGGUCAUGUAAUUUGGUGAAACCCAAACUUUGCGUUAUCGGGUUUUCAAUAUCGGAGGAAAAAACAAUGACAAUUCUUGAACAUAUUACACAUUAAUGCUAAUAUUGCCGAUAAUAUCGGUCCCUAAUUUUUUAUUCGGUUGGUGUCAAUUGCGAUGCAGAUCUCAUUGUACCGAAAAGUAAAAGCCUCUCCUCCCACGACAUUUUUGCGUCUGUUUGGGACGGUGAUGGAAAUACGUGUUAUUAUUGUAAAGGUGGUUGAGCAGCAGAA